rnacentral:lncRNA from 1 species
CCCCAAAUCCAAACCCCAACAAAGAAAAGGCUUCAAGCUCUAACCCCAAAGCCACCACUUCGAGCAAGAAUCCACCCCAAAAACCUACCCCUACUCCUUCUGAAUACUUCAGAAACAAAGAUCGUUUCUCCCACGCCAAUACUCCUUCCGAUAUGACCGAGGCAGGGCUGAAGAGUAUUCAAACCAAAUAUUCCAUUCCGG